rnacentral:tRNA from 1 species
GGGCGAGUGGCGAAAUGGCAGACGCGCUGGCUUCAGGUGCCAGUGUUCGCAAGGACGUGGGGGUUCAAGUCCCCCCUCGCCCACGA